rnacentral:rRNA from 1 species
CUUGGUUCAGGAUGAACGCUAGCGACAAGGCCUAACACAAUGCAAGUCAGGGGCGAGCACAAGGAGCAAUCUGAGGUGGCGACCGGCGGCACGGGUGAGUAACACGUAUGCAACCUGCCUGUAAGCGGGGAAUAACCCGUUGAAAGACGGACUAAUACCGCAUAAUACUAAAUUACUGCAUGGUAAUUUAUUUAAACAUUUAUGGCUUACAGAUGGGCAUGCGCAUGAUUAGCUAGUUGGAGAGGUAACGGCUCCCCAAGGCAACGAUCAUUAGGGGUUCUGAGAGGAAGGUCCCCCACACUGGUACUGAGACACGGACCAGACUCCUACGGGAGGCAGCAGUGAGGAAUAUUGGUCAAUGGACGAGAGUCUGAACCAGCCAAGUCGCGUGCAGGAAGAAUGUCCCUAUGGAUUGUAAACUGCUUUUGCAGGGGAAUAAAGUGCAUCACGUGUGAUGUUUUGUAUGUACUCUGCGAAUAAGGAUCGGCUAACUCCGUGCCAGCCGCUGC